rnacentral:rRNA from 1 species
GUGGGGAAUAUUGGGCAAUGGGCGGAAGCCUGACCCAGCGACGCCGCGUGGGGGAAGAAGUCUUUCGGGAUGUAAACCCUUGUUGUACGGGACGAAGGAAGUGACGGUACCGUACGAGGAAGCCCCGGCAAACUACGUGCCAGCAGCCGCGGUAAUACGUAGGGGGCGAGCGUUGUCCGGAAUCACUGGGCGUAAAGCGCACGUAGGCGGGCUGUCAAGUCGGCCGUGAAAGGCACGGGCUCAACCUGUGCAUGUCGGUCGAUACUGGCGGUCUGGAGUAUGGGAGAGGGAACUGGAAUUCCCGGUGUAGCGGUGAAAAUGCGUAGAUAUCGGGAGGAACACCAGUGGCGAAGGCGGGUUCCUGGCCCAUGACUGACGCUGAGGUGCGAAAGCCGGGGGAGCGAACGGGAUUAGAUACCCCGGUAGUCC